rnacentral:rRNA from 1 species
UGGCUCAGAUUGAACGCUGGCGGCAGGCUUAACACAUGCAAGUCGAGCGGUAACAGGGGUAGCUUGCUACCCGCUGACGAGCGGCGGACGGGUGAGUAAUGCAUAGGAAUCUGCCCAGUAGUGGGGGAUAGCCCGGGGAAACCCGGAUUAAUACCGCAUACGUCCUACGGGAGAAAGCAGGGGAUCUUCGGACCUUGCGCUAUUGGAUGAGCCUAUGUCGGAUUAGCUAGUUGGUGGGGUAAAGGCCUACCAAGGCAACGAUCCGUAGCUGGUCUGAGAGGAUGAUCAGCCACAUCGGGACUGAGACACGGCCCGAACUCCUACGGGAGGCAGCAGUGGGGAAUAUUGGACAAUGGGGGCAACCCUGAUCCAGCCAUGCCGCGUGUGUGAAGAAGGCUUUCGGGUUGUAAAGCACUUUCAGUAGGGAGGAAAACCUUAAGGUUAAUACCCUUAAGGCUGAC